CCCUUAGAGUUUGAUCCUGGCUCAGAGCGAACGCUGGCGGCAGGCCUAACACAUGCAAGUCGAACGGAUCCUUCGGGAUUAGUGGCGGACGGGUGAGUAACACGUGGGAACGUGCCCUUUGGUUCGGAACAACUCAGGGAAACUUGAGCUAAUACCGGAUGUGCCCUUCGGGGGAAAGAUUUAUCGCCAUUGGAGCGGCCCGCGGCUGAUUAGCUAGUUGGUGGGGUAAAGGCCCACCAAGGCGACGAUCAGUAGCUGGUCUGAGAGGAUGAUCAGCCACAUUGGGACUGAGACACGGCCCAAACUCCUACGGGAGGCAGCAGUGGGGAAUCUUGCGCAAUGGGCGAAAGCCUGACGCAGCCAUGCCGCGUGAAUGAUGAAGGUCUUAGGAUUGUAAAAUUCCUUCACCGGGGACGAUAAUGACGGUACCCGGAGAAGAAGCCCCGGCUAACUUCGUGCCAGCAGCCGCGGUAAUACGAAGGGGGCUAGCGUUGCUCGGAAUUACUGGGCGUAAAGGGAGCGUAGGCGGACUGUUAAGUUAGAGGUGAAAGCCCAGGGCUCAACCUUGGAAUUGCCUUUGAUACUGGCAGUCUUGAGUACGGAAGAGGUAUGUGGAACUCCGAGUGUAGAGGUGAAAUUCGUAGAUAUUCGGAAGACACCAGUGGCGAAGCGACAUACUGGUCCGUUACUGACGCUGAGCUCGAAGCGUGG
rnacentral:rRNA from 1 species